AUCACAUUCAAUUUGAAUCUGCAUAUAGGUAAUGUACUGACUAGUUGUUAAAUAUUGAUAAGAGAUGUAGUUAUGAAGAAAACAAGUAGUUACAACUUCUAACUAAGUUAUGUCUCAAACAGUGAAACAAGAUGGAAUCAUUUGGAUCUUGUGCAUUUUUUUAUGUUUCAUCCAUAUAAAAUAACUUGGAUCCCUGGCAUUGUGGCUCCUUAUGCAUAAUGUGGCCAUGCAGAUAAUUUUAGAUUCACACAAUAAGAGGCUUCUAGUUCUAGCUGGAGAGCUGUCAAAUAUAUUAGGAAGAAUUCUGGUAACUUUUGUUGUGGGGUCAUGCUUUAUCUUUGGCUUAUUUUCAAAACAUGUUAACAUUUACAAUAUUUAAAAUUAUGUUCAGUAGGAUAACAAUGCCAAACUUCCGCUUUUGACAUGUGAGAUAUUAAAAAUAUGGAUUUAUAUUGCACUGCACAAUUUUCCCUGAACCUCAUUAGUUGGUGAGCAUCAGUUGGUUCAACUCGAAAAUACAUAAAAUCAAAUAAACCAAACUUAAUAUUUUAAAAAUUGAACUGAACUGAAAAGAGAAAAAACUGAAUUGAAUUGAACUGAAUCAAACUAGUUUGGUUCUGUUUGGUUCGGUUCAUCAGUUCUCAAAGAACAGGAAACUUGUUUGGAUGAACAAAAAUUUCUUCUUCAAUUUUUCAAGUAAAUGUAAAAUAAAUCUCAACAAAAUCAGUAGGAACUAUACAAAAACAUUGCAGUAAACAAUACAGGUUCAAAUCAAUUAAUUGAUUAAAGCAUAUAACAACACAAUAUCCAUUCAACAUAGCACAGUAAAAAAACAAUGAAUAUUUUCUCCUCUACAGUGAUGAAAGACAAAGACUACAUGCAAAAACGAAAAUUUCUCUAGAACUUGUGGAAAUCAUUGGGGAAGAACCAUGCAAUACAGAAGUUGGAGUACUAUGAUUUCCCCCCAAUAUAUGAAUGAUAUCAGCAGGUGAAGGAGAAGAAAAAGGAGAAGGGAAAAAAGGACUAGUCUCCUUUGGUAAUGGGAAAGGGAGAAUUUGUAAAGUUUUGUAAAAUGGGGAAGAAGAAAAAUGAGGUAUAAAAUGAGAAAGCCCAGUGGUGAGGGCUAAGGGGCAAGGGGAAUGGUAAUGAUAAGAAAUGAAAAGGAACGCAGCAAGUUAGUAAUAAAUGGUAACGGUGAGGAGAAUAAAUAAAAAGGGGAGACAGCUACGGUUAGGAAUAAGAAGUAUAUAUAGUGUAAAUGGAUGACUGAGAUUGAAUUGUAGGUAUGGCUAGGAUACUUGUUUAAAAU
rnacentral:misc_RNA from 1 species